rnacentral:lncRNA from 13 species
GUCAGAGAGUCCGUGGUGAGACCAGACCACAGGGCAGUGAGUAGCUCAAGAUUCCCAAACCACAGAAAACUUGUUUUGAUUGAACCACUAUUGCAUGUGACUUCAGAAUGAUCCUCGAUAUGAUACAAGUCUCCUUCCCGAAAACUCUUGAGCCAUGGCGAAGCAAGACAACAGAAUUCAGGCCCAGGUGGAUGAGAGGAAGGUGUGAAAGCUGGGACAGAGCAGAGGAGGAUCCAAGAAGAGACGAGUAGGAGGAAGAGACCUUGGACCUUACUUAGUAAAGGACAGAAGGUCUGGCUGGCUGGAGGUCUGGACACAUAUCCAUAAAGUUUCUCAGAAUAGGAGUGCUGAUCUAGGAUUACAAUAAAUGCACAGGUGUGUGUGUGUGUGGGGGGGGGGGGGG